CAAUAGCGUAUAUUUAAGUUGUUGCAGUUAAAAAGCUCGUAGUCGGAUUUUGGCUGAGAACGAUCGGUCCGCCGUUAGGUGUGCACUGAUUGGUCUCAGCUUCCUGGUGAGGAGGUGUGCUUCACGGCCACUUAGUCACCGUGGUUACUUUGAAAAAAUUAGAGUGCUCAAAGCGGGCUUACGCUUGAAUAUAUUAGCAUGGAAUAACACCAUAGGACUCCUGUCCUAUUUCGUUGGUCUCGGGACGGGAGUAAUGAUUAAGAGGAACAGUUGGGGGCAUUCGUAUUUCAUUGUCAGAGGUGAAAUUCUUGGAUUUAUGAAAGACGAACUUCUGCGAAAGCAUUUGUCAAGGAUGUUUUCAUUGA
rnacentral:rRNA from 1 species